AUUGAACGCUGGCGGCAGGCCUAACACAUGCAAGUCGAGCGGUAGCACAGAGAGCUUGCUCUCGGGUGACGAGCGGCGGACGGGUGAGUAAUGUCUGGGAAACUGCCUGAUGGAGGGGGAUAACUACUGGAAACGGUAGCUAAUACCGCAUAACGUCGCAAGACCAAAGUGGGGGACCUUCGGGCCUCAUGCCAUCAGAUGUGCCCAGAUGGGAUUAGCUAGUAGGUGGGGUAACGGCUCACCUAGGCGACGAUCCCUAGCUGGUCUGAGAGGAUGACCAGCCACACUGGAACUGAGACACGGUCCAGACUCCUACGGGAGGCAGCAGUGGGGAAUAUUGCACAAUGGGCGCAAGCCUGAUGCAGCCAUGCCGCGUGUGUGAAGAAGGCCUUCGGGUUGUAAAGCACUUUCAGCGGGGAAGAAGGCGGUGAGGUUAAUAACCUUGUCGAUUGACGUUACCCGCAGAAGAAGCACCGGCUAACUCCGUGCCAGCAGCCGCGGUAAUACGGAGGGUGCAAGCGUUAAUCGGAAUUACUGGGCGUAAAGCGCACGCAGGCGGUCUGUCAAGUCGGAUGUGAAAUCCCCGGGCUCAACCUGGGAACUGCAUUCGAAACUGGCAGGCUAGAGUCUUGUAGAGGGGGGUAGAAUUCCAGGUGUAGCGGUGAAAUGCGUAGAGAUCUGGAGGAAUACCGGUGGCGAAGGCGGCCCCCUGGACAAAGACCGACGCUCAGGUGCGAAAGCGUGGGGAGCAAACAGGAUUAGAUACCCUGGUAGUCCACGCCGUAAACGAUGUCGAUUUGGAGGUUGUGCCCUUGAGGCGUGGCUUCCGGAGCUAACGCGUUAAAUCGACCGCCUGGGGAGUACGGCCGCAAGGUUAAAACUCAAAUGAAUUGACGGGGGCCCGCACAAGCGGUGGAGCAUGUGGUUUAAUUCGAUGCAACGCGAAGAACCUUACCUGGUCUUGACAUCCACAGAACUUUCCAGAGAUGGAUUGGUGCCUUCGGGAACUGUGAGACAGGUGCUGCAUGGCUGUCGUCAGCUCGUGUUGUGAAAUGUUGGGUUAAGUCCCGCAACGAGCGCAACCCUUAUCCUUUGUUGCCAGCGGUUAGGCCGGGAACUCAAAGGAGACUGCCAGUGAUAAACUGGAGGAAGGUGGGGAUGACGUCAAGUCAUCAUGGCCCUUACGACCAGGGCUACACACGUGCUACAAUGGCAUAUACAAAGAGAAGCGACCUCGCGAGAGCAAGCGGACCUCAUAAAGUAUGUCGUAGUCCGGAUUGGAGUCUGCAAUUCGACUCCAUGAAGUCGGAAUCGCUAGUAAUCGUAGAUCAGAAUGCUACGGUGAAUACGUUCCCGGGCCU
rnacentral:rRNA from 1 species